GGCGCGCAAUUACCCAAUCCCGACACGGGGAGGUAGUGACAAUAAAUACUGAUACAGGGCUCUUUUGGGUCUUGUAAUUGGAAUGAGUACAAUUUAAAUCCCUUAACGAGGAACAAUUGGAGGGCAAGUCUGGUGCCAGCAGCCGCGGUAAUUCCAGCUCCAAUAGCGUACAUUAAAGUUGUUGUGGUUAAAAAGCUCGUAGUUGAACCUUGGGCCUGGCUGGCCGGUCCGCCUCACCGCGUGUACUGGUCCGGCCGGGCCUUUCCCUCUGUGGAACCCCAUGCCCUUCACUGGGUGUGGCGGGGAAACAGGACUUUUACUUUGAAAAAAUUAGAGUGCUCCAGGCAGGCCUAUGCUCGAAUACAUUAGCAUGGAAUAAUAGAAUAGGACGUGUGGUUCUAUUUUGUUGGUUUCUAGGACCGCCGUAAUGAUUAAUAGGGACAGUCGGGGGCAUCAGUAUUCAAUUGUCAGAGGUGAAAUUCUUGGAUUUAUUGAAGACUAACUACUGCGAAAGCAUUUGCCAAGGAUGUUUUCAUUAAUCAGGAACGAAAGUUGGGGGAUCGAAGACGAUCAGAUACCGUCGUAGUCUUAACCAUAAACUAUGCCGACUAGGGAUCGGACGAUGUUAUUUUUUGACUCGUUCGGCACCUUACGAGAAAUCAAAGUGCU
rnacentral:rRNA from 1 species